UAGCCAUGUUGUGGACAUGAAUUUAUGAGAUCCUUAUAUCGCUUCCAACAUUGAAAGAAGGUCUCACCAUCUUUUUGCACAAAAUUCAUGAUUGCUUUCCUUUAAGGUA